rnacentral:rRNA from 1 species
UACGAACUGUGCAAACGUUAUUCGGAAUCACUGGGCUUAAAGGGUGCGUAGGCGGCUUGUUAAGUAGGGUGUGAAAUCCCCCGGCUCAACCGGGGAAUUGCGCCCUAAACUGGCGAGCUGGAGUGAGAUAGGGGUGUGUGGAACUUCCAGUGGAGCGGUGAAAUGUGUUGAUAUUGGAAGGAACGCCAGUGGCGAAAGCGACACACUGGGUCUCAACUGACGCUGAGGCACGAAAGCCAGGGGAGCAAACGGG